GUGUCAGCCGCCGCGGUAAUACGGGGGGUGCAAGCGUUGUUCGGAAUUAUUGGGCGUAAAGCGCGUGUAGGCGGUUUGUUAAGUCUGUUGUGAAAGCCCUGGGCUCAACCCAGGAAGUGCACUGGAUACUGGCAGACUUGAAUACGGGAGAGGGUAGUGGAAUUCCUGGUGUAGGAGUGAAAUCCGUAGAUAUCAGGAGGAACACCGGUGGCGAAGGCGGCUACCUGGACCGAUAUUGACGCUGAGACGCGAAAGCGUGGGUAGCAAACAGGAUUAGAAACCCGCGUAGUCC
rnacentral:rRNA from 1 species